GCUCCGCCCGGGUCCCGUCGGCGUCGGCCUCCGGUGGCUACCCAACACCGGACUUGCGGGCAGUCGGACAUCACCAGUCCCUGGAGAUCUGAAGCCACGACCGGUCGCGUCAUAAAGAGCCAUUCGUACAGUUUAUGCUGUUGGCUCUGGUUCUAAGAAGGCACUUCCAAGUCGCUGGGUAGUACCACCGCAAAAUGACCCUGGCAUCUAGAUGCAAGGAACAAGGGCGAGGACCGGGAUAAGUGGAGGAAAGAAAGGGUUAACUUGACUCAUCUACUACCCGGGCUUCCAAUCUCUCCUUUCCAAUACUUCACUCUGCCCUACAGUGCCUUUUUCUGUGUGUAGCAAAAGAUUAUCCGCAAGGCAGUCGUUUGCUGCUUCUUCCAAAAUCAGCGUGCCAGAGCCUAGGAAAGGAAGGGUGUAUUCUAGACAGGAAGCCCCCUUCCUCCACGUAGAAAAUCCUACAGCUGUGUGGAGCUCAGCCAGAAGCAAAGCCAGAACUGUGGCUGACAGCCCUUCUCCAGACUCCUCUAGGACACGGAGGCAGCCAGAGGCUUCGCACAGAGGGGCCAUGCGGCCUUGUGUGAUUGAUACUCAAGCCUCUGGGAUGGCUUCAUUCGUUGACGAAUAGAAAGCAGAUCUUGGUUACCAUCCCGCUUCGCUCCUGUUCAAGUCAGAUGGAAGGCACUCGACCCUGAAGCGGCCCCUCAUGUGUGAUUGGACUCAAAACCAAGGGACUACCAUCCCGUGGAGUUCAGCUGCGCUGCUUACCCACGUCAUCCCAG